rnacentral:rRNA from 1 species
AGAGUUUGAUCAUGGCUCAGGAUGAACGCUGGCGGUGUGUCUUAAGCAUGCAAGUCGAGCGAUCCCACCAUAUGCUUGCAUAUGGUAGGAGAGCGGCAGACGGGUGAGUAACGCGUAGGAACCUACCUCUUGGUGGGGGAUAGCCCUUCGAAAGGGGGCGUAAUCCCGCAUAAGAUCUCCGGAUGAAAGAGCAUAACUGCUCGCCGAGAGAGGGGCCUGCGUACUAUCAGCUUGUUGGUGAGGUAAUGGCUCACCAAGGCUAUGACGGUUAGGGGGUGUGAGAGCAUGACCCCCCACAAGGUCACUGAGACACGGGGCCUACACCUACGGGUGGCAGCAACUAAGAAUCUUGCGCAAUGGGCGAAAGCCUGACGCAGCGACACCGCGUGUGGGAAGAAGUAUUUCGGUAUGUAAACCACUGUGGCGAGGGAAGAAGAUCUGACGGUACCUCGCUAGAAAGCACCUGCUAACUACGUGCCAGAAGCCUCGGUAAUACGUAGGGUGCAAGCGUUAUCCGGAUUUACUGGGCGUAAAGAGUCUGUAGGUGGAGUAGUUAGUGAUGGGUUAAAGCCCUCGGCUCAACUGAGGAAAGGCUCAUCAAACUGCUAUUCUAGAAUAAGUUCGGGGAAGCUGGAAUUCUCGGUGGAGGGGUGAAAUCCGUUGAUAUCGAGAGGAACGCCAAGGGCGAAGGCAGGCUUCUGGGGCUUUAUUGACACUAAGAGACGAAAGCUAGGGUAGCAAACCGGAUUAGAGACCCGGGUAGUCCUAGCCGUAAACGAUGAAUACUAGCUGGGCCUGGUUUAUCCAGGUCUGGCGUAAGCUAACGCGUUAAGUAUUCCGCCUGGGGAGUACGGCCGCAAGGUUAAAACUCAAAGGAAUUGACGGGGGAGCGCACAACCGGUGGAGCAUGUGGUUUAAUUCGAUACGAAGCGAAGAACCUUACCUGGGCUUGACAUGUAUCUGCAAGCUCUAUGAAAGUAGAGCCGCCUACGAGGGUGAUACACAGGUGUUGCAUGGCUGUCGUCAGCUCGUGUCGUGAGACGUCCGCUUAAGUGCGGCAACGAGCGCAACCCUCGCUGUGUGUUGCAUAUCACACGGGACUGCCUUACAACAAGUAGGGAGGAAGGAGAGGACGACGUCAAGUCAGCAUGACCCUUACGUCCAGGGCUACACACAUCCUACAAUGGGGAGGACAAUGGGUUGCGACGGAGUAAUCCUGAGCUAAUCCUUAAACCUUCUCUCAGUUCAGAUUGUGGGCUGAAACUCGCCCACAUGAAGUUGGAAUCGGUAGUAAUCGCACGUCAGCAGAGUGCGGUGAAUACGUUCUCGCUCCUUGUACACACUGCCCGUCAAGCCAGCGAAGUCGGCAAUGCCCGAAGUUCUCAAAAUAUGUUGAGGCCUAAGGUAAGGUCGGCGACGAGGACUAAGUCGUAACAAGGUA